rnacentral:rRNA from 1 species
UACGUAGGGGGCAAGCGUUGUCCGGAAUCAUUGGGCGUAAAGCGCGUGUAGGCGGCCCGAUAAGUCCGCUGUGAAAGUCCAGGGCUCAACCCUGGGAUGCCGGUGGAUACUGUCGGGCUCGAGUCCGGAGGAGGAGUGUGGAAUUCCUGGUGUAGCGGUGAAAUGCGCAGAUAUCAGGAGGAACACCAAUGGCGAAGGCGGUUCUCUGGGCAUGUCCUGACGCUGAGGAGCGAAAGCGUGGGGAGCGAACAGG